GCUGUGGUCAUCUAGUGGUUAGGACCCUACAUUGUGGCCAUGGCAACCCAGGUUCGAAUCCUGGUCAUGGCA
rnacentral:tRNA from 1 species